rnacentral:rRNA from 1 species
GGAUGACGUCCGAUCAGGGACGGAUACCCGCUGAACUUAAGCAUA